rnacentral:rRNA from 1 species
GCAUAUCAAUAAGCGGAGGAAAAGAAACCAACAGGGAUUGCCUUAGUAACGGCGAGUGAAGCGGCAACAGCUCAAAUUUGAAAGCUGGCUCCUUCGGAGUCCGCGUUGUAAUUUGUAGAGGAUGAUUCGGCAAGGGCUCCCGCCUAAGUCUCCUGGAACGGAGCGUCAUAGAGGGUGAGAAUCCCGUAUGCGGUGGGCUGCCUAAGCCAUGUGAAUCUCCUUCGACGAGUCGAGUUGUUUGGGAAUGCAGCUCUAAAUGGGAGGUAAAUUUCUUCUAAAGCUAAAUACCGGCCAGAGACCGAUAGCGCACAAGUAGAGUGAUCGAAAGAUGAAAAGCACUUUGGAAAGAGAGUUAAAAAGUACGUGAAAUUGUUGAAAGGGAAGCGCUUGCAGCCAGACUUGUCCGCAGUUGCUCAGCCGGUCUCCUGACCGGUGUACUCUUCUGCGGCCAGGCCAGCAUCAGUUCGGGCGGUCGGAUAAAGACCUCGGGAAUGUAGCUCCUCUCGGGGAGUGUUAUAGCCCGGGGUGGAAUGCGGCCAGCCUGGACUGAGGAUCUCGCUUCGGCUAGGAUGCUGGCGUAAUGGCUGUAAGCGGCCCGUCUUGAAACACGGACCAAGGAGUCUAACAUCUAUGCGAGUGUUUGGGUGUCAAACCCAUGCGCGUAAUGAAAGUGAACGGAGGUGGGAACCCUCACGGGUGCACCAUCGACCGAUCCUGAUGUCUUCGGAUGGAUUUGAGUAAGAGCAUAGCUGUUGGGACCCGAAAGAUGGUGAACUAUGCCUGAAUAGGGUGAAGCCAGAGGAAACUCUGGUGGAGGCUCGCAGCGGUUCCGACGUGCAAAUCGAUCGUCAAAUUUGGGUAUAGGGGCGAAAGACUAAUCGAACCAUCUAGUAGCUGGUUCCUGCCGAA